rnacentral:rRNA from 1 species
GCCAGCAGCCGCGGUAAUACGACAAGUAGAACGAACGCUGGCGGCAAGCCUAACACAUGCAAGUCGACCGUUCAAUUAUUUUUAGCCUCUGGCUAUAGGAAAUUGUUAGUGGCAGACGGGUGAGUAAUGCGUAGGAAUCUACCUAGUAGUACGGAAUAGCCAUUAGAAAUGGUGGGUAAUACUGUAUAAUCCCCGAGGGGGAAAGAUUUAUCGCUAUUAGAUGAGCCUACGUUAGAUUAGCUAGUUGGUGAGGUAAUGGCUUACCAAGGCUAUGAUCUAUAGCUGGUCUGAGAGGACGAUCAGCCACACUGGAACUGAGAUACGGUCCAGACUCCUACGGGAGGCAGCAGUGGGGAAUAUUGGACAAUGGGCGAAAGCCUGAUCCAGCUAUGCCGCGUGAGUGAAGAAGGCCUUCGGGUUGUAA